rnacentral:rRNA from 1 species
GAUGAACGCUGGCGGCGUGCCUAAUACAUGCAAGUCGAGCGAACGGACGAGAAGCUUGCUCCUCUGAUGUUAGCGGCGGACGGGUGGGUAACACGUGGAUAACCUACCUAUAAGACUGGGAUAACUUCGGGAAACCGGAGCUAAUACCGGAUGAUAUUUUGAACCGCAUGGUUCAAAAGUGAAAGACGGUCUUGCUGUCACUUAUAGAUGGAUCCGCGCUGCAUUAGCUAGUUGGUAAGGUAACGGCUUACCAAGGCAACGAUGCAUAGCCGACCUGAGAGGGUGAUCGGCCACACUGGAACUGAGACACGGUCCAGACUCCUACGGGAGGCAGCAGUAGGGAAUCUUCCGCAAUGGGCGAAAGCCUGACGGAGCAACGCCGCGUGAGUGAUGAAGGUCUUCGGAUCGUAAAACUCUGUUAUUAGGGAAGAACAUAUGUGUAAGUAACUGUGCACGUCUUGACGGUACCUAAUCAGAAAGCCACGGCUAACUACGUG